CCUACGGGGGGCAGCAGUGAGGAAUAUUGGUCAAUGGGCUUACGCCUGAACCAGCCAAGUCGCGUGAGGGAAGACUGCCCUAUGGGUUGUAAACCUCUUUUGUCAGGGAGCAACGCCGGCUACGUGUAGCCGGACUGAGAGUACCUGAAGAAAAAGCAUCGGCUAACUCCGUGCCAGCAGCCGCGGUAAUACGGAGGAUGCGAGCGUUAUCCGGAUUUACUGGGUGUAAAGGGAGCGUAGGCGGCCCUGUAAGUCUGAUGUGAAAAUUUGGGGCUCAACCCCAAACGUGCAUUGGAAACUGCAGGGCUUGAGUGCCGGAGAGGCAGGCGGAAGUCCUAGUGGAGCGGUGAAAGGCGUAGAUAUUAGGAGGAACACCAGUGGCGAAGGCGGCCUGCUGGACGGUAACUGACGCUGAGGCUCGAAAGCGUGGGGAGCAAACAGGAUUAGAUACCCCAGUAGUC
rnacentral:rRNA from 1 species